GCCUUCCGGAAGCUGAACGUGAGGUAAUGAACUGAGCCAAAAUAGGGAAUUAAGCUUCCACUUCGUAUUAAUUGAGAAUUUUUGCCGAACUUAGAAUCGAAGUGAUCGCUUCGGUGCGACUUUCGUGUUUUGUUUUCAGCUGGAUUGGGGCCUAGUGGAGCUGAGUUUUGGGACUUCUUACAAUUGAAUUGCGCUUAGUAAUAGGUGGGUUUGACCUAACCAGAGCAAGUGGAGCUCCCCUAUGUUCUAUAUGUAUUAUAGAAUUGAUACAGUUGUAUGCUUUUGUGAUUGAUAUAGAACUUGAGACGAGUCACUCUAUUAUAGUGUUGAUAUAUAAUUGAAUUGAAAUCUCUAUGGAGUAGAGAACGCUCAUGCAUAUAAGUCUUUAUAUACAUGUUUAAUUUAGUUUAGUGAUUAAUGGGCAAGUUAUCAUGUUUCUAGAAAAUAGAAAACCGUGAC
rnacentral:lncRNA from 1 species